UGGUUAUCACAUGCAUUAUUUUUCACGAGAUUAACCGCAGGAGCAGGAAGCCAAGAAGGUAAAUGCACAUACGUGUGCUGUAUCACAAGGGAUGGAAGGCACGAUUCGGCCCUGCCGUGGCACGUAAGUCACUCACACAUCACAGCGAAAGCGCACGAACGCUGACCGACCCUCUGACCCGAAACGUACAAGCUAGUGGCCG
rnacentral:lncRNA from 1 species